rnacentral:rRNA from 1 species
GAUGAACGCUGGCGGCGUGCCUAAUACAUGCAAGUCGAGCGAACAGACGAGGAGCUUGCCCCUCUGACGUUAGCGGCGGACGGGUGAGUAACACGUGGAUAACCUACCUAUAAGACUGGGAUAACUUCGGGAAACCGGAGCUAAUACCGGAUAAUAUAUUGAACCGCAUGGUUCAAUAGUGAAAGACGGUUUUGCUGUCACUUAUAGAUGGAUCCGCGCCGCAUUAGCUAGUUGGUAAGGUAACGGCUUACCAAGGCAACGAUGCGAAGCCGACCUGAGAGGGUGAGCGGACACACUAGAACUGAGACACGCUCCAGACGCCUACGGGAGGCAGCAGUAGGGAAUCUUCCGCAAUGGGCGAAAGCCUGACGGAGCAACGCCGCGUGAGUGAUGAGGGUCUUCGGAUCGUAAAACUCUGUUAUUAGGGAAGAACAAAUGUGUAAGUAACUAUGCACGUCUUGACGGUACCUAAUCAGAAAGCCACGGCUAACUACGUG